CCCUUGCACUUUCCUCCAUUUAAUGCCACUGUAACAAUUCAUCAAAUCCAAGCAGUUGAAAAAAAUAUGAUUUUCCAAAAUUUUUCUUUCCAAGAUUUUCGUUCAAUGUCUGGCCUACUCCAUCAAAGCCUUGAUCAAGAAAGCUGGCGUGAAGGUUCUCAAUCCGACAGAUGGGCUCGUUAAUCCCGACAAAAAGUUGGCAAUCAUCUGUCAGGUGAAUUUUCAGAAUAAAUAACAAAGGAAAAAAGCUGACUCGAAAGUGAACUGCUGCAAAACUACUGAACUCUGAGAGUGAUAUCGAUACCUUCAUCCGCAGAAAUCAGAUGAUCUCAUAAAAGAAUGGCAUUUAUCAAGUAAUUAAUAAAUAAAUAAAUUAGACAAUGUCUCUCUGGAUCAACUCAAUAAGGCAACGAUAAUACAGGAAUCAUCAUCCAGUCUUGGAAAUGGAAUGGUCUCCGAGUAUCAUCUCCAGGGAAAAAAGUCAUCAAUUAUCACACGUGACGAGAGGAGAAUAUCGGAGACAAAGAGAUUUAGCCGGAAUAAAAUAGAGAUAAUUUCUGAAGUACGAUUGAAGUGGUAACCCGAAGAGCACUGUUCAGUCGUGGAUCGAGCGUAGUCGUGUGAGGGCUGACUGAGGGUAGAAGAGGAAGCCGAUGCCUGAAGCCGGGCGUGCAGCAAAUAAGAAGGAGAGACGGUUAAAACAAAAAUAAAAGAAAAAUAAGAGAUGUGUAUAAAGAGGAGAAAAAGAAACGAGAAAAUAAAGAAAAACCAUGGGAGCCCUUGAAAGGCGAAUUGGAAAGUAUGUCGGAGGUGCAUGAGCAUUGUACAAAUGACUCUAGAGCUCGUUGAAGACAUUUUUCGUCAUUAAAUCAUUUUUUCGGCGACCCUCACCUUGAAAUAUUUUAGAAUAGAGAGAAGGGUGAAGGGAGGACUAGCGAGCAAAAAAUCAAGUUCAUUUUUUUAUCAUUCAUACGUUUAAUCGUUCCCACAGUAUUUUUAAUAUUUAAUUUUUUAUUACCGGAAAUGUUGAUGUGGUUCAUGGGGAGAUUGACUUUUUGACAUUUUUCAUCAGUAAAUCAUUGCAUUGGACGACCUUCACCUUGAAGUGAUUGAGAAUAAAAGAAAGGGAGAAGGGAUCGGUUGCUCACCUUCAACACCAUUUGAUGCAGAAAUAAAAUCCUUCGAGGGAAUUUCGACUGGAAGAAUCAAAAUCCUCCCCUUCACCGAUCGAAGCCAUCUUCGUCCCCCUCAAAAAUCUAUUCUCAGUUAACUCCACCAAUCAACCACAUUAUUAGUUAAUCACAAACCUCUAGAACUGUGCGAGUAUCUCGAUCCGUCGCGUUACAAAUAAAAUUUGUUGUAUAAAAUAAAAAAGUCACCGAAGAAUAAAAAAAAACAUUGAAAGUAUUGAAAAUAAAAACCAAAGCGGCAUGGGAACCGGUUCUUCGUGAAGUUGGGGGGGAGGUUUGCAGCCUCACGGGCAAAAUCAUCUGUCUGGGCUUCUCUGUUUCUACACAAGACCCGGAUUCCUAUAACCGCAUCCAUCGGGGAUAAUUUACCGAUUCAACUGGUUCAAAUUCCUAUCAAUGCGCGUUACAGAUGCCGAUAAAAAGUUAAAGCAGUCGAUUCCCCGAACUCUUGGUGAUUUUUGUUUUUGAAUGGAAGCUUUGUAAUCGUUGGAUUUUCUAAUUUUGCUUGUAAAUGAUAUAGAAUGAUCUGAAACGCAAAAAUACAAAAUUUCAGCAGCAUGUGUGUAUGUGCGCAUGGGCACCUUGGCCCAUUCUUUUAGAAAAUCAAAGGAAUAAACGGCUAAAGUUAUUCCGCGAAAGGUCGAAUUUCGUCAAAUCACAGGUAUUACUAAGGACUAAGUCUGUGCCGAAAUUCAACGCCAUUGGUCAAGCCGUUUUUCAUAAAUUUCCAUUUCGUUUCGAACCGGUUAACGCAAAUAUCUCGAACACUAUCGAAUCGAUGAGAAUUUUUCACCUCUCAAAAUAUUCGUCUUGAUGUACUCUAUCUCUAUCUCAAUCAAUCAAAAUAUCUAUACCGGUUCUCACUAAGUUUUCCAGAUAUUCCAAUUUAUCUGUUUUAUCCAAAAAAAGUUUGUUAGCUCGGUAACAUUGCGAUAAAUUGAUUCAUUAAUUUGAAAUUUGGCAUAAAAUUUCCUCUUAACAAUGAAAUGUUCGGUGUAUUGAAGAGCGGCUGAAUCGGAUCAUUAGUUCAUGAUAUAUUCCAGUUUAUAUGAAAAUCGAUUUCCUUCAGUAUCUUGAAAACUAUGAAACCGUUUUACGUGUUUGCCCUCAUAAAAUUUUCGUUUCGGUUUUUCAUCCCCAUUCAGUCGAAAAAAUUGCAAUAUUUCCCCACGAUUAUAUAUCACUCGGUACCUGAAAUCGGAUGGGCCCCUCUUGUUCCGCCCCCACGAGAAAUAGUGCAAGUGUUGAAACAAGAGGGUUGGGGGGGGGGGAGGAGGGGGGUACAAUAGACUAGUCGAUGAAGUACGUGGAAACAAAGGGGACCAAGCGGUGGUUUUAUGCGGCAGCCGAUGGCUUUUCUCACAAUUCAAUUCCCGGUUAUGCCGGUAUAUCCCCACGAGUUAAAUUAAACGUUAAAAAAAAUAUACGUACAUACAUGCAUAAAGGAAUUUACACGUGGAAACAAAGCACCUGUAGUUACUGAGAGGGGAAGAGGGAGGAGAAAGGGAGACCGGUUCGCACACACAUUAUGUGGAGGGACUAUUCUUCGUUGAGAGCUAAUACUCUUGCGAUUUUUCGUCCCUAAACUGCAGGUGAACCUCCAGGGCUAUUUUGUGAUUAAAAAAUUAUAUUAAACUUUUUUAAACAUCUGGGGAAUUUUUA